rnacentral:rRNA from 1 species
AUUGAACGCUGGCGGCAUGCCUUACACAUGCAAGUCGAACGGUAACAGGUUAAGCUGACGAGUGGCGAACGGGUGAGUAAUGUAUCGGAACGUGCCCAGUCGUGGGGGAUAACUGCUCGAAAGAGCAGCUAAUACCGCAUACGACCUGAGGGUGAAAGCGGGGGAUCGCAAGACCUCGCGCGAUUGGAGCGGCCGAUAUCAGAUUAGGUAGUUGGUGAGGUGAAGGCUCACCAAGCCGACGAUCUGUAGCUGGUCUGAGAGGACGACCAGCCACACUGGGACUGAGACACGGCCCAGACUCCUACGGGAGGCAGCAGUGGGGAAUUUUGGACAAUGGGCGCAAGCCUGAUCCAGCCAUGCCGCGUGCGGGAAGAAGGCCUUCGGGUUGUAAACCGCUUUUGUCAGGGAAGAAAAGGUUCUGGCUAAUACCUGGGACUCAUGACGGUACCUGAAGAAUAAGCACCGGCUAACUACGUG